CCAAAAAGGGGGCGGCCCUGACCAUGCAAGUCGAGCGGGAACGAGUUGUCUGAACCUUCGGGGGACGAUAACGGCGCCAAGCGGCGGACGGGUGAGUAAUGCCUAGGAAAUUGCCCUGAUGUGGGGGAUAACCAUUGGAAACGAUGGCUAAUACCGCAGAUGCCUACGGGCCAAAGAGGGGGACCUUCGGGCCUCUCGCGUCAGGAUAUGCCUAGGUGGGAUUAGCUAGUUGGUGAGGUAAGGGCUCACCAAGGCGACGAUCCCUAGCUGGUCUGAGAGGAUGAUCAGCCACACUGGAACUGAGACACGGUCCAGACUCCUACGGGAGGCAGCAGUGGGGAAUAUUGCACAAUGGGCGCAAGCCUGAUGCAGCCAUGCCGCGUGUGUGAAGAAGGCCUUCGGGUUGUAAAGCACUUUCAGUCGUGAGGAAGGUAGUGUAGUUAAUAGCUGCAUUAUUUGACGUUACCGACCAAAGAAGCACCGGCUAACUCCGUGCCAGCACCCGCGGUAAUACGGAGGGUGCGAGCGUUAAUCGGAAUUACUGGGCGUAAAGCGCAUGCAGGUGGUUUGUUAAGUCAGAUGUGAAAGCCCGGGGCUCAACCUCGGAAUUGCAUUUGAAACUGGCAGACUAGAGUACUGU
rnacentral:rRNA from 1 species